GACGAACGCUGGCGGCGUGCUUAACACAUGCAAGUCGAACGGAAAGGCCCUGCUUUUGUGGGGUGCUCGAUUGGCGAACGGGUGAGUAACACGUGAGUAACCUGCCCUUGUCUUUGGUAUAUCUUCAGGAAACUGGGGCUAUUACCGGAUAGGAGCUCCUGCUGCUUGGUGGGGGUUGGUUAGUUUCGGCGGUUGGGGAUGGACUCGCGGCUUAUCAGCUUGUUGGUGGGGUAGUGGCUUACCAAGGCUUUGACGGGUAGCCGGCCUGAGAGGGUGACCGGGAAAAAGGGGACUGAGAUACGGAGCAGAAUGCAACGGGAGGAAGCAGAGGGGAAUAUUGCAAAAUGGGAGGAAGCGUGAUGCAGAAACGCCGCGAGCGGGAUGACGGCCUACGGGUUGAAAACAGAUGUCGAAUGUGAAGAAGCGAGAGUGACGGUAAUGGGUAAAGAAGCACCGGCUAACUACGUG
rnacentral:rRNA from 1 species